rnacentral:rRNA from 1 species
GCGGAGGAAAAGAAACCAACAGGGAUUGCCUCAGUAACGGCGAGUGAAGCGGCAAAAGCUCAAAUUUGAAAUCUGGCUCUUUCAGGGUCCGAGUUGUAAUUUGUAGAAGAUGCUUUGGGUGUGGCUCUGGUUUAAGUUCUUUGGAAUAUUACAUCAUAGAGGGUGAGAAUCCCGUAUGUGACCAGUUGCCGCGCCCGUGUAAAAGCUCUUUCAACGAGUCGAGUUGUUUGGGAAUGCAGCUCAAAAUGGGAGGUAUAUUUCUUCUAAAGCUAAAUAUUGGCCAGAGACCGAUAGCGCACAAGUAGAGUGAUCGAAAGAUGAAAAGCACUUUGGAAAGAGAGUUAAACAGUACGUGAAAUUGUUGAAAGGGAAGCGCUUGCAACCAGACUUGCACGCAGUUGAUCAUCCGGUGUUCUCACCGGGGCACUCUGCUGCGUUCAGGCCAGCAUCGUUUUUGGUGGUUGGAUAAAGACCUUGGGAAUGUAGCUUCUUUCGGGGAGUGUUAUAGCCCUCGGUGCAAUGCAGCCUACCGGGAACGAGGAC